AGUGAACGCUGGCGGUAGGCCUAACACAUGCAAGUCGAACGGCAGCACAGUAAGAGCUUGCUCUUACGGGUGGCGAGUGGCGGACGGGUGAGGAAUACAUCGGAAUCUACUUUUUCGUGGGGGAUAACGUAGGGAAACUUACGCUAAUACCGCAUACGACCUACGGGUGAAAGCAGGGGAUCUUCGGACCUUGCGCGAUUGAAUGAGCCGAUGUCGGAUUAGCUAGUUGGCGGGGUAAAGGCCCACCAAGGCGACGAUCCGUAGCUGGUCUGAGAGGAUGAACAGCCAAACUGGAACUGAGACACGGUCCAGACUCCUAAGGGAGGCAGCAGUGGGGAAUAUUGGACAAUGGGCGCAAGCCUGAUCCAGCCAUACCGCGUGGGUGAAGAAGGCCUUCGGGUUGUAAAGCCCUUUUGUUGGGAAAGAAAAGCAGCAGGUUAAUAACCCGCUGGUCUGACGGUACCCAAAGAAUAAGCACCGGCUAACUUCGUG
rnacentral:rRNA from 1 species